GCCUACGGGACGCAGCAGUGAGGAAUAUUGGUCAAUGGACGAGAGUCUGAACCAGCCAAGUAGCGUGAAGGAUGACUGCCCUAUGGGUUGUAAACUUCUUUUAUAUGGGAAUAAAACAGGGUAUGCAUACCCUCUUGUAUGUACCAUAUGAAUAAGGAUCGGCUAACUCCGUGCCAGCAGCCGCGGUAAUACGGAGGAUGCGAGCGUUAUCCGGAUUUAUUGGGUUUAAAGGGUGCGUAGGCGGAUUUUUAAGUCAGCGGUAAAAUGUCCGGGCUCAACCCGGGCCGGCCGUUGAAACUGGGGAU
rnacentral:rRNA from 1 species